rnacentral:rRNA from 1 species
UACGGGGGGAGCAAGCGUUGUUCGGAUUUACUGGGCGUAAAGGGCGCGUAGGCGGCCACCGCAAGUCGGUUGUGAAAUCUCUGGGCUUAACCCAGAAAGGUCAACCGAUACUGCGGGGCUAGAGUGCAGAAGGGGCAACUGGAAUUCCUGGUGUAGCGGUGAAAUGCGCAGAUAUCAGGAGGAACACCAAUGGCGAAGGCAGCUCGCUGGAACGGUACUGACGCUGAGGCGCGAAAGCGUGGGGAGCGAACAGG